rfam:Musca domestica strain aabys unplaced genomic scaffold Scaffold19210, whole genome shotgun sequence.
UUUUUUUGAAGGAUGACACUUUUCAUAACCCAAAUCUGAAAAACUUUGAAGAUUUUGUUUUUACAUGCAUCACCAACUGAUUGAAAAA